UACAGAGGUCUCAAGCGUUGUUCGGAUUCAUUGGGCGUAAAGGGUGCGUAGGCGGCGCGGUAAGUCGGGUGUGAAAUCUCGGAGCUUAACUCCGAAACUGCAUUCGAUACUGCCGUGCUUGAGGACUGGAGAGGAGACUGGAAUUUACGGUGUAGCGGUGAAAUGCGUAGAUAUCGUAAGGAACACCAGUGGCGAAGGCGGUUGCCUGGGGCUUUGCUGACGCUGAUGCGCGAAAGCGUGGGGAGCGAUCCGG
rnacentral:rRNA from 1 species